rnacentral:rRNA from 1 species
AUUGAACGCUGGCGGCAUGCCUAACACAUGCAAGUCGAACGGCAGCACAGCAGUAGCAAUACUGUGGGUGGCGAGUGGCGAACGGGUGAGUAAUGCAUCGGAACGUGCCCUGAAGUGGGGGAUAACGUAGCGAAAGUUACGCUAAUACCGCAUAUUCUGUGAGCAGGAAAGCAGGGGAUCUUCGGACCUUGCGCUUUUGGAGCGGCCGAUGUCGGAUUAGCUAGUUGGUGGGGUAAAGGCCCACCAAGGCGACGAUCCGUAGCGGGUCUGAGAGGAUGAUCCGCCACACUGGAACUGAGACACGGUCCAGACUCCUACGGGAGGCAGCAGUGGGGAAUUUUGGACAAUGGGCGCAAGCCUGAUCCAGCCAUGCCGCGUGAGUGAAGAAGGCC